rnacentral:rRNA from 1 species
UGGGGAAUAUUGCACAAUGGGCGGAAGCCUGAUGCAGCGACGCCGCGUGGGGGAUGAAGGCCUUCGGGUUGUAAACUCCUUUCGACAGGGACGAAGCGUAAGUGACGGUACCUGUAUAAGAAGCACCGGCUAACUACGUGCCAGCAGCCGCGGUAAUACGUAGGGUGCGAGCGUUGUCCGGAACUACUGGGCGUAAAGAGCUCGUAGGUGGUUUGUCGCGUCGUCUGUGAAAUUCCGGGGCUUAACUCCGGGCGUGCAGGCGAUACGGGCUGACUUGAGUGCUGUAGGGGAGACUGGAAUUCCUGGUGUAGCGGUGAAAUGCGCAGAUAUCAGGAGGAAUACCGAUGGCGAAGGCAGGUCUCUGGGCAGUAACUGACGCUGAGGAGCGAAAGCAUGGGUAGCGAACAGGAUUAGAUACCCUGGUAGUCCAUGCCGUAAACGGUGGGCGCUAGGUGUAGGGGGCUUCCACGUCUUCUGUGCCGUAGCUAACGCAUUAAGCGCCCCGCCUGGGGAGUACGGCCGCAAGGCUA